rnacentral:rRNA from 1 species
CUACGGGGGGCUCCAGUGAGGAAUAUUGCACAAUGGGGGGAACCCUGAUGCAGCAACGCCGCGUGGAGGAUGACGCAUUUCGGUGUGUAAACUCCUUUUAUCAGAGAAGAACAUGACGGUAUCUGAUGAAUAAGCUCCGGCUAACUCCGUGCCAGCAGCCGCGGUAAUACGGAGGGAGCAAGCGUUAUUCGGAAUCACUGGGCGUAAAGGACGCGUAGGCGGGACAGUAAGUCAGGUGUGAAAUCCAAUGGCUCAACCAUUGAACUGCACUUGAAACUGCUGACCUAGAGUACUGAAGGGGCAGAUGGAAUUAGUGGUGUAGGGGUAAAAUCCGUAGAUAUCACUAGGAAUACCGAAAGCGAAGGCGAUCUGCUGGGAAGUUACUGACGCUGAGGCGUGAAAGCGUGGGGAGCAAACAGGAUUAGAUACCCCUGUAGUC